GAUGAACGCUGGCGGCGUGCCUAAUACAUGCAAGUCGAGCGAACAGACGAGGAGCUUGCUCCUCUGACGUUAGCGGCGGACGGGUGAGUAACACGUGGAUAACCUACCUAUAAGACUGGGAUAACUUCGGGAAACCGGAGCUAAUACCGGAUAAUAUAUUGAACCGCAUGGUUCAAUAGUGAAAGACGGUUUUGCUGUCACUUAUAGAUGGAUCCGCGCCGCAUUAGCUAGUUGGUAAGGUAACGGCUUACCAAGGCAACGAUGCGUAGCCGACCUGAGAGGGUGAUCGGCCACACUGGAACUGAGACACGGUCCAGACUCCUACGGGAGGCAGCAGUAGGGAAUCUUCCGCAAUGGGCGAAAGCCUGACGGAGCAACGCCGCGUGAGUGAUGAAGGUCUUCGGAUCGUAAAACUCUGUUAUUAGGGAAGAACAAAUGUGUAAGUCACUAUGCACGUCUUGACGGUACCUAAUCAGAAAGCCACGGCUAACUACGUG
rnacentral:rRNA from 1 species